GAUGAACGCUGGCGGAGUGCCUAACACAUGCAAGUCGAGCGGCAGCGCGAGUAGUUUACUACUUGGCGGCGAGCGGCGGACGGCUGAGUAACGCGUGGGAACAUGCCCCAAAGUGAGGAUAACUGCCCGAAAGGGUAGCUAAUGCCGCAUACGAUCUUCGGAUUAAAGGAUUUAUCCGCUUUGGGAGUGGCCUGCGUACGAUUAGAUAGUUGGUGAGGUAAUGGCUCACCAAGUCUACGAUCGUUAACUGGUUUGAGAGGAUGAUCAGUCAGACUGGAACUGAGACACGGUCCAGACUCCUACGGGAGGCAGCAGUGAGGAAUCUUCCACAAUGGACGAAAGUCUGAUGGAGCAACUCCGCGUGCAGGAUGAAGGCCUU
rnacentral:rRNA from 1 species